GACGAACGCUGGCGGCGUGCUUAACACAUGCAAGUCGAACGGAAAGGUCCUGCUUUUGUGGUGUGCUCGAGUGGCGAACGGGUGAGUAACAAGUGAGUAACCUGCCCUUGCCUUUGGGAUAACUUCAGGAAACUGGGGCUAAUACCGGCUAGGAGCUCCUGCUGCAUGGUGGGGGUUGGAAAGUUUCGGCGGUUGGGGAUGGACUCGCGGCUUAUCAGCUUGUUGGUGGGGUAGUGGCUUACCAAGGCUUUGACGGGUAGCCGGCCUGAGAGGGUGACCGGCCACAUUGGGACUGAGGUACGGCCCAGACGCCUACGGGAGGCAGCAGUGGGGAAUAUUACAGAGUGGUCGGAAGCCUGAUGCAGCAACGCCGCGUGCGGGAUGACCGCCUUCGAGUUGUAAACCGCUUUCGCCUGUGACGAAGCGUGAGUGACGGUAAUGGGUAAAGAAGCACCGGCUAACUACGUG
rnacentral:rRNA from 1 species